AGAGUUUGAUCCUGGCUCAGGAUGAACGCCGGCGGUGUGCCUAAUACAUGCAAGUCGAACGCGUUGGCCCAACUGAUUGAACGUGCUUGCACGGACUUGACAUUGGUUUACCAGCGAGUGGCGGACGGGUGAGUAACACGUAGGUAACCUGCCCCAAAGCGGGGGAUAACAUUUGGAAACAGAUGCUAAUACCGCAUAACAAUUUGAAUCGCAUGAUUCAAAUUUAAAAGAUGGCUUCGGCUAUCACUUUGGGAUGGACCUGCGGCGCAUUAGCUUGUUGGUAGGGUAACGGCCUACCAAGGCUGUGAUGCGUAGCCGAGUUGAGAGACUGAUCGGCCACAAUGGAACUGAGACACGGUCCAUACUCCUACGGGAGGCAGCAGUAGGGAAUCUUCCACAAUGGGCGCAAGCCUGAUGGAGCAACACCGCGUGAGUGAAGAAGGGUUUCGGCUCGUAAAGCUCUGUUGUUAGAGAAGAACGUGCGUGAGAGCAACUGUUCACGCAGUGACGGUAUCUAACCAGAAAGUCACGGCUAACUACGUGCCAGCAGCCGCGGUAAUACGUAGGUGGCAAGCGUUAUCCGGAUUUAUUGGGCGUAAAGCGAGCGCAGGCGGUUUGAUAAGUCUGAUGUGAAAGCCUUUGGCUUAACCAAAGAAGUGCAUCGGAAACUGUCAGACUUGAGUGCAGAAGAGGACAGUGGAACUCCAUGUGUAGCGGUGGAAUGCGUAGAUAUAUGGAAGAACACCAGUGGCGAAGGCGGCUGUCUGGUCUGCAACUGACGCUGAGGCUCGAAAGCAUGGGUAGCGAACAGGAUUAGAUACCCUGGUAGUCCAUGCCGUAAACGAUGAGUGCUAGGUGUUGGAGGGUUUCCGCCCUUCAGUGCCGCAGCUAACGCAUUAAGCACUCCGCCUGGGGAGUACGACCGCAAGGUUGAAACUCAAAGGAAUUGACGGGGGCCCGCACAAGCGGUGGAGCAUGUGGUUUAAUUCGAAGCUACGCGAAGAACCUUACCAGGUCUUGACAUCUUGCGCCAACCCUAGAGAUAGGGCGUUUCCUU
rnacentral:rRNA from 1 species